rnacentral:rRNA from 1 species
GACGAACGCUGGCGGCGUGCUUAACACAUGCAAGUCGAACGGAAAGGCCCUGCUUUUGUGGGGUGCUCGAGUGGCGAACGGGUGAGUAACACGUGAGUAACCUGCCCUUGACUUUGGGAUAACUUCAGGAAACUGGGGCUAAUACCGGAUAGGAGCUCCUGCUGCAUGGUGGGGGUUGGAAAGUUUCGGCGGUUGGGGAUGGACUCGCGGCUUAUCAGCUUGUUGGUGGGGUAGUGGCUUACCAAGGCUUUGACGGGUAGCCGGCCUGAGAGGGUGACCGGCCACAUUGGGACUGAGAUACGGGCCAGACUCCUACGGGAGGCAGCAGUGGGGAAUAUUGCACAAUGGGCGGAAGCCUGAUGCAGCAACGCCGCGUGCGGGAUGACGGCCUUCGGGUUGUAAACCGCUUGCGCCUGUGACGAAGCGUGAGUGACGGUAAUGGGUAAAGAAGCACCGGCUAACUACGUG